CCUAGUGUUCCUUGGGAGGAUAUAUCUAUGGACUUUGUUUUAGGGUUACCUCGAACAAAGAAGGGGAGGGAUAGCAUAUUUGUUGUCGUGGAUAGGUUCUCGAAAAUGGCACACUUUAUACCAUGUCAUAAAAGCGAUGAUGCUGUUAAUGUUGCUGAUUUGUUCUUUUGUGAAAUUAUUCGCUUACAUGGUGUGCCAAAUACUAUUGUUUCAGAUCGUGAUACUAAAUUUCUUAGCCACUUUUGGAGAUGUUUAUGGGCUAAGUUGGGGACUAAGCUGCUUUUUAGUACUACUUGUCACCCCCAAACUUAUGGACAAACUGAGGUAGUCAAUAGAACAUUGUCUACUAUGCUUAGGGCUAUUUUGAAGAAUAACAAGAAAAUGUGGGAAGAAUGCUUGCCUCAUAUUGAAUUUGCUUAUAAUCAUUCAUUGCAUUCUACAAAUAAGAUGUGCCCUUUUGAAAUUGUGUAUGGUUUCCUACCUCGUGCACCUAUUGAUUUGUUGCCUCUUCCAUCUUCAGAGAAGGUUAAUUUUGAUGCUAAAGAACGUUCUGAAUUGAUUUUAAAAAUGCAUGAGUUAACUAAGGAAAACAUUGAGCGUAUGAAUGCUAAAUAUAAACUUGCUGGAGAUAAGGGUAGAAAACAUGUUGUGUUUGCGCCUGGAGAUCUUGUUUGGUUACAUUUGCGUAAAGAUAGAUUUCCUAAUCUGCGCAAAUCAAUGCUAAUGCCACGUGCUGAUGGUCCUUUUAAGGUGUUAGAGAAAAUAAAUGAUAAUCCAUAUAAACUU
rnacentral:rRNA from 1 species